GUUGGUUCGAUGAUCGCGAAGACGGAGGAGGUGUGUGCGCUGCUUCCUCCUGCCUUGUGGUUUGAGGGUGGGAGCUGACGGAACCAAUCAGAGGGACGAGGAGGGUGAUCAUUUGCCCCUGUAUGCCAACGAGAUAGAUUUUGAAGAAUAUGCUGCAAAAGCUAAAACUUUACCUGUAAAUACUACUAACAAGAGCAAAUUGUUCCUUUAUGGGCUUUACUAGCAAGCGACUGUCGGACCAGUGAAUACUAGCUGACCUGGUAUAUUCAAUAUGAGGGAUAGAGCCAAAUGGGAAGCUUGGAAGGCUGUUGAAGUUUACAAAAUCCACUUGACAAAUCUUAUAUAUAUAAAUAUAUAUAACUUGUUGGACAAAAUUCAUUUCUUAUUUAAUAUUAGUAAAAUUGACAGGGGAGGAAGCCAAAGGAGGAGACUAUGAGUGACUACCUCACCAAGGUUAAACAGCUGCUCGAGGCAGCUGCUACUGCUGCUUAUGCUACUUUGUCAAACCUUGCUCUAUGUAGUACCAUGGUAUCCUCGAUAUCGAAGUAAAGAUCAUGCUGGACUUGGAUCCUAGAAGAAAGCAGGGCAUCAUGACCCCUUUGCCAGAUCAUGUUACAAUUCAUGCCCCAAAGGAGGAAGAGGAGUUACACUCCAGAAGAAUUUGAAUGCUACGACCUUUGCAAAAGGAAUUAGGAUUACAUUUCUUCUUCAUAAGCUUCCUUCCGGCUUGUAAUGAGACAAAGUUCUUCUGAUUUAUGUGCUUGAACUAGUUCUAGAUUAACACGAAGGAAUACUAGGAGUCCUUAGGCCCA